UCCAUUUCUAAAUCGUCAUCUUGAAGUUCUUUUAACACAAGCUUAUGUUCAUUUUCUGUCUCUGUGUAAGUUUUACAUUUGCAGUAACAUUGACCAUAUGCUCCGCAUUUGAAGCACCCAACAGCAUCUACCUCAGUUUCAUUCAAUUGGAAGCAUUCUUUUCCACAACAGUAAAUUGGUUUUCUCAAUCGUUUAUGUGUACCUGAUGUUGUUUUAUCUGCGUUUUCAUCUGGUAACUGUUGAUUGUUUUCAGGACUUGUAGUCUGUUCAUCUGUGUUUUUAUCUGUCAACUCUUGAUUGCUGUUUUCAGGAUGUUCCUCAUUAUUGAUCCAUGUUCUAUAUUUCUGAACAUUGAUGUAGGCACAUGCAAAUGAUAAAUGGUUACCAAUUGGAUGAUGAACAGCUACUUUACAAUCCAGGUAAUGUGUUAAAAAGGGUAACUCCUUUGUAGGUGGGCAGUUUAGGCUGUUUAGAUCAAUUGUUGUUCGGUUUAAAAGCUCUUCUAAAGCUUUACAUUUUUCUUUACCUUUUAAGUAAAUUUUUGUAGCAUGAAACAAAAACAAUUUUAUAAGUUUCACGACAUGAUGUAGUUGCAUAUUGCCAUCUUCCCACUUUAGUCCAUGGUAAUUUUUUUGUAACCAUGCGACUUCUUUUCUUCUUACCUCUGGAAGUUGGGUGAUUGAAUAUGGAGGACUCACUAUGAAACACGUUGGAUCAUCUUUUCCAUCUCUGGAUACUAUUGCAAAUUCUUUGAUUAUAAAAUUAUUUAAUUGAUCUCUAAAUCCCAAGAAAUCAACAAUGAACUCCCUCUCGAAAGCAGAAGUAGGAGGCACCCAUACUGAUGGAAAAGUAUUUUUUUUCUCUAAUUUUUUAUCGCUAGAUCCGAAUCCUUGCUCUUGUCUUUCUGUAUCAUUUAAUUUCUGUAAGUUUAAAACAAAUCAUUAGUGCUUGAGUCAGCAAAAGUUUUCAGAAAUAUUAAGGGAGGAUACAUUAAAACACUGAAAAAGCAGAUACCAUAAAUAAAUAAUAAAAUAAAAAACUUGGUUCAUCUAUAGUGAUACUUACAUCACUCUCUUCUAAUUCAGGAUGAAGUAUUAGCUCAAUAAUAAGUUGAGCUACCUUGUCACCCUUUUUGAUUUUAAAAUCUUCAUUAUUAUGAUUGUGAAUAAUUAUUUGAAUAUUUCCCCUGUAAUCUUCGUCAAUCACGCCACCUACAGAAUUGUAAGAGAACUUUGUUCAAGAAAUUCAUUACAAUAAUUUAAAAGAUACUUUAGUUAGAUAGGUACCUACCUCCAAUAUCAAUAAAGUGAUUUAGUGCCAAACUAGAUCUUGGAGCUAUUCUACCAUAGCAGUUGUUAGGCAUUUGAAGUUGUAAAUCUGUUUUAAUUAAUUCCCUUCCUUUUGCAGGAACAAUAUAAUCAUAUGCACUAAAUUAAAAAAAAAACAUUGAAAAAAUAAAUCAGUAGGUACUUUAAAAAAGAAGAAAGGGAUAUGAAUAAAAAAUUUUAAAAAUAGGUAUAUUGGAAAAAAUCAGCAAGACUUGAAAAAAUAAGUGUGUAGGUUUAAAUAAAGAAUUGAAAAAAAAAGAAGAAAUAAAUAUAGUAGAAGAAAAAAAAUUACAUACCUCUUCAAAUCAUAACCAGCUGAUUUUAAAGUUGCUUUUGUUGGAACAAAUGCGUUUUCUGACAUCUUUACAAAUUUUAAUACAUUAGCCAUGGUAUGAAAAAAAUAUUACACAACUUUUUUCAAAAAUACCUGAUCACAAUUGAAAUGUUCGAAAUUUAUAUAAAUUCACUUCAAAUUAAACACACUGAACUGUCUAAAAUACAGAUACUGGUAUAGGUAGGUACUGUGUAUUUGCAAGGCUUUAUAUACUAGAAAUCUUCAGUCAACUUUACAUGACCUCAAAUUUUCCCCAGAAAAUUAUUUCAUUAAAUCCAGUAAAAAUUACGAUGAAACAGAUUUUCGUAAGUUUAUUUACUCAACUUUCAUAACCUUACCUACAUACUUUCAAUGAUGCAAUUUUUAUGAUGUGGGUAUUAUAGGUGAUCAUCAAACUAAAGAAAACCAAGUCUUAAAACAGGUUCAGAAUAGACUUACAUUUUUUUAUUAUGUUGCACUCUCGGAUCUUGCAUUUUUUGUGCAUUCUACAUACCUAUAUCUUAACAGUGUUUAGAAGGUUGUUAUAGUUACCUACCUUGAUUAUUUUGUUUUGCUAUAAAUUAGGCAAGAACAGUAUUACACAAAGUGAAUCAACAGACAUGAAAUAUAAAUAGGUACCUUACACAAAAUUUAUGAGAAAAAAAAAAUCCGUUCAUUUUAGUAGGGAGAACGACUACAAUUUAUAAUAUAAAUACGAGAAUGAACUGCAUAGUAAAAUUAAUUUCUGUGUUGUUGUUAGUUUGGUGGUGUUUGUAUAGUAAUUUCGUGAUACCUAUCUUAUUAUUUUCAUUUUUCAUCAUGUCUUCUCUAGAUAUAACUGAAAUUUUCAACACUUUUUUAACAAGAAUUUUUGAUGGUGAACUUUAUAUAAAAAAGUUGAUUUUAAGGAAGCCAUUUACUCGUACAGAAUUCCAGGAAAUACUAGAGAAAUUUAAGGACCUAAAAAUGAAGGAACUCAUUCCAUUUGAGAUGGAGUCUGCAGUUGAAGGUUGUUUGGAAACUCUGAGAAAAGAGAUGAUAGAGGAGGAACGGAGAAUUGUAAUUCAACAAUUUGAAGAUUCUAUUAAGCGAGCUGUGGAGUCUGCAAUGAAACUGGUCUACUCCCCACAUCCAGAGGUACCAUCAUAUUCAAUAUGAUUUUUAAAAAAUUAUUUCAUCAUUGAUUUUUCAAUAUUACAAGUACAUUUUAUUCAUAUGUAGGUACCUACUCAUUUUUUUCUUACUGUUACUAUUUUAUUCAUGGUGAAUUUGUAAUUAUGCACUAUACCUAAUGAAAAUAAAUUUUUUUAAAAACAA